GAUGAACGCUAGCUACAGGCUUAACACAUGCAAGUCGAGGGGAAACGACAUCGAAAGCUUGCUUUUGAUGGGCGUCGACCGGCGCACGGGUGAGUAACGCGUAUCCAACCUGCCCAUCACUUGGGAAUAACCUUGCGAAAGUAAGACUAAUACCCAAUGACAUCCCACGAAGACAUCUGAAUGGGAUUAAAGAUUUAUCGGUGAUGGAUGGGGAUGCGUCUGAUUAGCUUGUUGGCGGGGUAACGGCCCACCAAGGCAACGAUCAGUAGGGGUUCUGAGAGGAAGGUCCCCCACAUUGGAACUGAGACACGGUCCAAACUCCUACGGGAGGCAGCAGUGAGGAAUAUUGGUCAAUGGGCGAGAGCCUGAACCAGCCAAGUAGCGUGCAGGAUGACGGCCCUAUGGGUUGUAAACUGCUUUUAGAAGGGAAUAAAGUGGGUCUCGGGAGACUUUUUGCAUGUACCUUAUGAAUAAGGACCGGCUAAUUCCGUG
rnacentral:rRNA from 1 species